rnacentral:rRNA from 1 species
ACGAACGCUGGCGGCGCGCCUAACACAUGCAAGUCGAACGAGCGAGAGAGAGCUUGCUUUCUUGCGCGAGUGGCGAACGGGUGAUUAACGCGUGAGGAACCUGCCUCAUAGAGGGGGACAACAGUUGGAAACGACUGCUAAUACCGCAUAAGCCCACGACCCGGCAUCGGGUUGAGGGAAAAGGGGCAAUCCGCUUUGAGAUGGCCUCGCGUCCGAUUAGCUAGUUGGUGAGGUAACGGCCCACCAAGGCGACCAUCGGUAGCCGGACUGAGAGGUUGAACGGCCACAAUGGGACUGAGACACGGCCCAGACUCCUACGGGAGGCAGGAGUGGGGAAUAUUGCACAAGGGGGGAAACCCUGAUGCAGCGACGCCGCGUGGAGGAAGAAGGUCUUCGGAUUGUAAAGUCCUGUUGUAGAGGAAGAUAAUGACGGUACUCAAAAAGGAAGUGACGGCUAACUACGUG